AUUGAACGCUGGCGGCAUGCCUUACACAUGCAAGUCGAACGGUAACAGGUUAAGCUGACGAGUGGCGAACGGGUGAGUAAUAUAUCGGAACGUGCCCAGUCGUGGGGGAUAACUGCUCGAAAGAGCAGCUAAUACCGCAUACGACCUGAGGGUGAAAGCGGGGGAUCGCAAGACCUUGCGCGAUUGGAGCGGCCGAUAACAGAUUAGGUAGUUGGUGGGGUAAGAGCCCACCAAGCCAACGAUCUGUAGCUGGUCUGAGAGGACGACCAGCCACACUGGGACUGAGACACGGCCCAGACUCCUACGGGAGGCAGCAGUGGGGAAUUUUGGACAAUGGGCGCAAGCCUGAUCCAGCCAUGCCGCGUGCGGGAAGAAGGCCUUCGGGUUGUAAACCGCUUUUGUCAGGGAAGAAAAGGUUCUGGUUAAUACCUGGGACUCAUGACGGUACCUGAAGAAUAAGCACCGGCUAACUACGUGCCAGCCGCCGCGGUAA
rnacentral:rRNA from 1 species